GAUGAAGAACGCAGCGAAAUGCGAUAAGUAAUGCGAAUUGCAGAAUUCAGUGAGUCAUCGAAUCUUUGAACGCACAUUGCGCCCUGUGGUAUUCCGCAGGGCAUGCCUGUUCGAGCGUCAUUUCAACCCUCAAGCCUCGCUUGGUGUUGGGCCCUGCCCGCCGCGACCGGCCCUAAAGAUAGUGGCGGCGCCGCCUGGCCCUCAGCGUAGUACAGCUCUCGCUCCAGGGUCCGGCGGCAGCCUGCCAGAACCCCCCAACUCUGUGGUUGACCUCGGAUCAGGUAGGGAUACCCGCUGAACUUAAGCAUAUCAAUAAGCGGAGGA
rnacentral:misc_RNA from 1 species